AUAGAAAUGCAUGACUUGAUACAACAAAUGGGUCAAGAAAUUGUUCAUCAAGAAUCCAUCAAAGAUCCUGGAAGACGAAGUCUAUUAUGGAAACAUGAUGAAGUGUAUGAAGUAUUGAAAUAUAACAAGGGAACUGAUGAUGUUGAAGGGAUAAUUUUAAAUUUGGAUACAUUAACUGAGGAUCUGUGUUUGAGCUCUGAUUUCCUUGCAAAGAUGCCUAAUGUGAGAUUUCUUAAAAUCUAUACAAAGCACUGGA